UACAGAAGGCAGCUACACGGCGACGUGAGGCUAAUCCCUAAAUCCUCUCUCAGUUCGGAUUGGAGUCUGCAACCCGACUCCAUGAAGCUGGAUUCGCUAGUAAUCGCGCAUCAGCCACGGCGCGGUGAAUACGUUCCCGGGCCUUGUACACACCGCCCGUCAAGCCAUGAAAGCCGGGGGUACCUGAAGUGCGUAACCGCGAGGAGCGCCCUAGGGUAAAACUGGUGAUUGGGGCUAAGUCGUAACAAGGUACC
rnacentral:rRNA from 1 species